AAAGUGAGCAGUGUGGAGCUGGGGCAGCUGGAGGUAUGCAGGGCUGUGACUGUAGUUCUGAAAUGGUGACAGCCAUCUGUUUCCCUGGUGCAGCACAGGCCCUGUCAGUGGGUAAUGCUGAAAUGAGUGACUGGAGCGGGCAGGAUGUGCCAGCGCAUGGCUGGCUGCCGCCUGCCUUCCCCAAGCACAGGGACAGCUGCUCCCUCCCUUGAAUGGCUGGAGAGUGAUUUUUCCAUUCUCUUUUGCUGAAACUGGUCCUUGAUGGACUCAUCCCUCAUUUCACUGCAUCCCGAGUGUGCUGCUUGGAUACUGCUUUAGCAGUCCAAAGGAGAACGCAGCCAAAACGUGAAGUGGCACCGAAGCCAGAUUGGAGCAGCCUUGCCAGUCCUGCUGUGGUACCCUGACCUGUGCUGGCAGAGCUGUGGGCAAAGGGCACUGGUCCCCUCUGAGGCCGAAGCUCACUCUGACUUUCCCAGCCCCAGCUGGGUCUGCCCAAAGUCCAGUAAUGUGCGCAGAUGAUGGAGGCUGCAGGCUGGAGAUGGGGCUGUGCUGUAGGGCAGGGACUGAGGCUUUGCUGAGCCACCCACCUCCUGCCAUGCUGCGGUGCCAGCUGCCACCUGAAGUGUUUUUACGAGCCCUUCUCGUGGAUCCCUGGCACUGGAACACCGUCUGCCCCUCACCUGUGCUCUGCUGCCUGCCACACUGGGGCUGCUUUCCCCUCUGUGCCUCAUCCCCAGGCAGCAGCAGACUGCCUUUCCAGCACAGACCAUGCUGCCCUUCACUAUUUCCUGCUAGCACAAGCCUGGAAGUUCCCCUAUUGGUGCCAGCAAACUGCUUUGUACUCCGUAGGUGGGAAAAUAUCUGUGAGACGGAUGAACACUUUGGAGAAAAAAAAUGGUUGUACAUUUUUUUCUGGUGACAGUGUCAGUAAAAGCAACAGAAACAAACUCCUCUCCCAGUGCAGGGGCUGAGCUCACACUGUCUGACAGUGUCUGCCUGCCUCCCGAGGUGCUGUGUUGUGUGACAGCCAGGAGCUGGGGACAUCUUUGGGACCAAUUGGUGAUGCACAUCCCAGGCUGCCCCAUCCCAGCACUGAUGGAUCCCUGUCACUGUGGAAAGGCACAGUUUGGUACCCAGGGAUGGGAUAGCAGAGCUGAGAGGAGAGCAGCUGUGGUGCGUGGAGAUGGCAGAGAGCAGAAUAUAGCACUGCUCUGCAACAGCUGAAAGGGAGAAUGAAGUUGAUAAGAGAGGAGUGGAGAAGGAAAAAACUGGGAGCAUUUAUUGCACCACGACACGUG
rnacentral:lncRNA from 7 species